CCUACGUGGUGCAGCAGUGAGGAAUAUUGGUCAAUGGGCGCGAGCCUGAACCAGCCAAGUCGCGUGAGGGAAGACGGUCCUAUGGAUUGUAAACCUCUUUUGUCGGGGAGCAAAAGACGCCACGCGUGGCGUUCCGAGAGUACCCGAAGAAAAAGCAUCGGCUAACUCCGUGCCAGCAGCCGCGGUAAUACGGAGGAUGCGAGCGUUAUCCGGAUUUAUUGGGUUUAAAGGGUGCGCAGGCGGAAGAUCAAGUCAGCGGUAAAAUUGGGGGGCUAAACCUCUUCGAGGCGUUGAAACUGGUUUGCUUGAGUGAGUGAGAAGUAAGGGGGAUGUGGGGGGGAGCGGUGGAAUGCAUAGAUA
rnacentral:rRNA from 1 species